UGAAAGACACGGGUAGUGAGAUGGUAAUGUCAACGCGUCUUACUACCCUGUCUUUUCCG
rnacentral:pre_miRNA from 1 species